CGGGUCCCGGCCCCGCUGCUCGGUGCGCGGCGGCGGCGGCGGCACCGGGAGCGGCGGCACCGGGAGCGGCGGGGGCUGGCGCUGGGGCUGGGGCGCGUCGGCCCCGCAGCUGCGGCUCGUUGAGCUCCGCCCGGCCCGGCCCGGCCCGGUCCGGUCCUUAACAGCGGAGCGGAGCCCGGGGGUCACCGCAUGUGAACCGGGAGGGCAGCGCCGCACCGCCCCGCACCGCCCCUGAGCACCGGCAGCGCUCCCCUGCCCGGCCCCGCCGAGCCCCGGAGCAGCUGUGCACCCUCCCCUUCGCCCCCUCUCUUUCUUUUUCUUUCUCUUUCUUUCUCCCCUUCCCCGGUCCCACACCAUGAGCAACCUCAACAAGGACACCGAGCACACCAACGGCGGCGGCAACGUCGAGGAGGAGGUACGGACUCUGUUUGUCAGUGGUCUUCCUGUGGACAUCAAACCCAGAGAGCUCUACCUACUCUUCCGACCAUUCAAGGGUUAUGAAGGGUCACUGAUCAAGCUAACAUCAAAGCAGCCAGUUGGUUUUGUGACCUUUGACAGCCGGGCUGGUGCAGAAGCAGCGAAGAACGCCUUAAAUGGCAUCCGCUUUGACCCAGAGAACCCUCAGACCUUGCGGCUAGAGUUUGCUAAAGCCAACACAAAGAUGGCCAAGAGCAAGCUGAUGGCUACACCAAACCCCACCAAUAUCCACCCUGCCCUGGGCGCACACUUCAUUGCACGGGACCCCUAUGACUUGACUGGAGCAGCUCUUAUUCCAGCGUCCCCAGAAGCAUGGGCUCCCUACCCCCUGUACACCACGGAGCUAACCCCAGCCAUCCCCCAUGCCGCCUUCACGUACCCGGCGGCCGCUGCUGCGGCCGCUGCUCUUCACGCUCAGUGAACUCCAGCCAUGAUGCCAGCGCAGGCUAGCCCUGAAGCUCAGAGCUGUCCCUGGAGAUGGGACGCCCUAGUGAUGCCUAAUUGCAGCUAGUGGAGUGGCUGUACUACAGCUCCAUUCCUAGAAGUGUUAAGCAUGAUGGCAGCCCCGUCUGGAAAGACUGAUGCGCUGGUAUCCUCCCUCCGAAGCUACCCAGCAAGGAUGGAAGUCUCGUCAGUUUUGUUAGUUUGUUAGUAAUGUCUCUCCUCGGCUCGUGUUCCUCCUCCCCGCCUCUCCGCGGAGGGAUGUGCCAGGGACGACUGCUCCGACUCCUCUCGCUUUGGUUUGCGGCCAGCGGACAAGGCGCCCGGCCCCGGCGCAUCCCCCCUCCGGACUGUGAAGCUGCCGCACGCCGCCUCCAUCCCUCUGUCCCGCUGUCUGUCCGUCCACCCCCAGGACCUCUUCCCUGGCUGAGCUUCACCGCCCGGCCGUGCCGCAACCUGGCCGGGGUGGCGGGGGGCUCGGUGCCGGGCUCGCCUCGCCCGCGGCUCGGCUGAAGGAAACGAAAGGCAAAUCGGGUUUUUGCAUGUUUUCUGGCAUGAAUUAAAACACUUAACUUGUGUAUGUGUGAGUGUAAGUUUGUUUGUUCUAGCGUUUGUGUAACUGUUAGCAACAGGUCUUGGCCCAACGGAUUGAUCCAUCAAGGUUUUCAUCUUGCGUCGGUGAAGACUUGGCUCUGAGAAAUACUAACUGUCCUUGUCUCACCCCUUCGCCCACCUCCGCCCUCCCCCUUCCCAGUACGACCAGAAGAAUUUGAAAAAUGUUUUUUUAUUUUUUUUUUUUCCUCCAAGUACGAUGCACUGGGUUUCUGUUCUCAUCCAUUCUCCCGUUUUAAAGUCAGGGUUCUUAUAUUAUUUCUUUCAGACUGCUAUAUAUAGAAAGGCUGUAAAAUAUCUAACCUCUUUUUUUCUUCUUUUCCACAUCCCUCUGAUUGGAGAGCAUCCAGUCCUGCCAAAUAAUCAGCCAUCCUUAUGGGAAUACCGAACAAAAAAAAAAAGUACGAGUAUUUUUGUACCAUGUGUAAUAAGGAAAUAUUUAUGCAUCAUAAAGAAUUUCUUGUGUGUUUGUGUGCAAUUAAUUAUUAUUAUUAUUAAAAGAGAAAUUGUAAUCCUGUAAGAUAAGUUAAUGUUUAGUUAAAAGCUUGAACAGAGAAGGGUUGUCUUCUGUAACAAUGAUUCAGUCAGGCAUAGUAAACAAGAAAUUGUGCAAUUUUUGUUUUAGCAUCUUAUUGCUUGGUAUUGAAGUGCUUUAAGUAUUAUAUGACCAUGGCUGUCUCGCUUGUAUUAAAAGAUUUGAGAGUAAGUUGCUCUAUACUUGCUGAUCCUAUGAGAAUGUGAAACUGGAUAAUAUAUGAAAUGCAACAGACAAACAAAAAUAUACCCAGAGGCUGCUGUGACUCUU